AAGUACCUACUGUCUGCCCACCCUUUGCUGAACUCUAGGGCCCAGUGGGAACCAGGCUACAAAUGAUCCCUGCCCUCUGGGGCCCCCAGUGUGGUGGGGGAGGCAGAGAGUAAACAGGAAACAGAUAAACAAACCACGUAAUUUCAAAUACAGAGGUAGAAGAAGGAAAAGAACAUAAGUAACACACCAAAGGAGGCCAUCAGCCAGGAAAACUUUCUGAGAAGAUGUUUAGCCAGUCAAGACUUUGAGAAGGAAGAUGAGCCAGCCAGAGAGCGCACCCCAGGUAGAGGGUAAAGUUCAUGAAAAGGUUCCGAGGUGCGGAACAGAGGAGAUAGGGACCAGAUUCCUUGCCCAGCCCAUGAUGAUGGGGCUCUGCUACCCCCUAGUGGGGUGUUAGCAUUCCCUGGAGGCCAAUUGAUCCAGGCCAAUUGAUCCAGGCCACAAGAUCUCUUAUUUGGAUGUUGCCCUGGCCACCUCCUUGCCUCUGCCAUCUGGAUUCCUGGCCCCAGAAGACCUUUUUCCCCACAAGGCAGCCACAGAAGAUUAAGAAAAGGGCCUCCCUGGUGGCCUAGGGGUUAAGUCUCAGCACCAUCACCACUGCAGCCUGAGUGGCCAGGGAGCUGACCCACAAGACACAGGAGACCUCUCCUGUCUUGCCUACUGCUGCCUGUAGCCAUGUAUUUCAGUAGAUCUACCUGUUCUACUCCCCACUCUGUCUCUGGUGAAUCCUCUUAACUACCCCCUCCCCCCCAUGCCUCUAGCCUACACCGCAGUUCUUAUGUGUAUAAAUAUAUAAAAAUAAAUAUUUUUUAAAAAGAAGGUUAAG